rnacentral:sRNA from 1 species
AUUGGGAAUACUUGGCACAACCACUGCAUUAAUCCUUUCAACACACACAUAAAGCCCAACCUUCAACGACGAAGGUUGUGCUCCCCGAGAGAACGGGACCAGGACAAAGGCGUCCUCGCUAGGCAACUAGCGGGACGCC